CUCCUCCGCAGCGUCACUCUGCCGGGAAGGGAGGGAGCGCGAUGUGUCUGCCGGAGGCACCGUGCUGAGCGGCGAGAGAUCCUCCGAGCAACCCCAGUGUUUUCAGCAUUUAAUGACUUGUUUGGGUGAGAUUGUAACGUGUGCUGGAAACGGUGCUGCAAGGACACACGUGGAGCCUCCAGCAGUGACUGAGUUAGCUGUGUAAUGAACCUCUCAGUGCUGUGGCUUCCUGGCUCCCCUGGGAUCUGGGUCAGUGUAACUAUGGGGGUGAGUCCUGAAAGGUCUUCGUUCUUCUGAGCACCAUUUAGGUAUUGCUUCCAACCCAAGCCAUCUUAUGAUUCUGUAGUGACUCGGUGGUUGUUCUGGCCACACCAUGGUCCACUUUUGCCAUAGCACAGCCAAUGCUGCUACAAAUCACUUGCAAUUCAGUGCUUGGCCCUAUCAGCUAACACUCUCCUGGUGACUCGGACCGUGCUGUUAGCUUUAACAACCAUCAGCCAAGCUGCAAACAAGCAGGAUGCAAAACGCGAAGAGUGACCAGUGCUUGGGGUUUGGUUGUGCAGUGGACUGCUGGAGCCUUUCCCUAUUUCCAGCCUGGUAAAUAAUGCAUGAUCUGUCUCUUACACGCUUACUCAACCCCUACCACGAUAAAAAUCAACCGAGGGAAAUGAGAGUGGAAAGGAGCAUUAUCUUUCCCAGUAAUGCAACCAUUUACAAUCUGUUACGAUCCUUCUGCUGAGGAGUAAGUGGUGGUGGAGGAGUUUGUUUCUAUUAGCAGACCAGAAACCAUAAAUCACGGGCUGUAGUUUUCCAAUGUCACGUACAAGCAGCCUUAAAGCCCUUAAAAAAAAAAGAGAGAUAGAGAGGGAAAAUGGAAAUAACUUCUGUAUCAAUCUAUCUAUCUAUCUAUCUCUAUAUAUUUUUAAUUGCUCUGGGGUAAUCUAGGCACACUUAUUUUGUGUGCCUAAGUAUCAAAUACCAACGACUGUAUUUUCCAAUGUAGGAUCUUAAAGCUAAGCAACAGACACCUAAAGAGAGGGUGCUGCCUUUGGUGCUUAAAAGCAGAUCUGAAUGCCUGAGAAAAUUGGCCCAAGUGCAAACUAGUGUGGAAAAUCUUUUAUUUCUUAAGAACGUGUUUGUCAUAUUUAAAACUGAGCUCUAGCGUGGCAUUUCUUCGGGUCUGUUCUCACCAGCUGAAACAGAAGCAUCUAAAGAGCAUCCAGAAAAGUCUGCGGAUCCAAUGGAAAUGGGAGCUUCUGUGCAUUUCUUCAAUGCUCUGCCUAAAUCCUCUACUCUCCAGUGGUGAGGAGCCUCUUGGUUGGCCACAGCACCAUUCCAAGGAGGGAAGAAUCACCCUGCCCUUCUGCCAGCCUGCUCAGCUGUGGCUGCUGUGGUUGGGAGUUUUGGUCAGGUAGGACUGUUUUGGGAAAGGGGUGAACCCUCAGCUAGGAAUCUUUCCCUGGCAUCCCCCUGCUCUCCCUUAUAUUCAUGUGGAAUGAGAGGAGAAUCAUGAAGGGAAGCUUUGCAGAUCAUCGUGGGGUUUCUGACUGGUGGAGCUGUCUGUACUUUUAUUGUUUCUUGUUUCUCGUACAACAUUCUGGUGUUGGAAACUGCUCCUCCUGUUCUGCGUGGUCUGUCAGUUUCUGCUUCUCUCAGUGAAUUACAGCUGGGGCAGGAAAACUGCAGGAAAUACAAAGCUCAUAGAAAUACCUUCAACCUCAGACCCUUGAAAUGUCCGCAUCUUAAUACACCACAACUGGGAAAAGAGAACUUCACCUGACCUUUAAGUUUGCAGAGGAAAGCAGUCACCGAGUUGUUCCUUUGGAGGUGAUGGGUAAGGUGGUGUUACUCAGUGACAUUCCCUGUCUGUAGAGAGGCUAAUGUAUUCCUGUUGCAUUUAAUUAGUUUUGAACCUAUGUACGUGAGAAAUGCAGCACAGUGCUGUUAUUAAAAUUCAUGCUUUAUAAUAAUUAGCACAGUUUGUUCAGUCCCUGAGAACUGCCAGCAAAAGGACUAUUAACUUUGGUUAAUGGUGGAAAUGUCUCACCCGAGCUAUCGUUUAACCCUUUGCUGCAGAAAAGUUGUGGUUGUUCUCAAAGGCUACAUCAGGCCAGCCAUUAAUUACCAAAACUCAUUAAUUGUAGCAGAUUGACUGCUAUAAAAUCUCUUCAAUUGAACUUUUGCGAUGAUCAGUAGGGAAAUGGUGACAAACACAGGCAGAGCUGUCCCUUUUAAAUUGCUGGUGUUUUAUUUCUCAUCGAAUCCCUAUCUGAAAUAGGGGAAAAUGACCAAUAAGGUUCAGAAACUCUUUCUUCAGAAGAUCAAAGUCAUAAAACUCUGUUAAUUCCCUUUGAGACAGAAAUAGGAAUUACAGUUAAGAGACUUCACCCCGUGACUUUUUCUUUCAUGUUAAAACUCCCUAAUUGUUCCCCAAAUGCAUCUCCCAUUAUAUUCCACUGUAAACUAAUUUGCUAAGCCAUCAGGAACCCGAGAAAAAUCUCUUAGUUAAAAACAGCCUCUUGCAAGAGCAGCUGAAAAGCACAAAUUCUGAAGAACCACAGUGAUGCCCUGUUCCUCGUUCCCAGCAAACAUGCCUUUGGUCUUAUUUUUGGUAAACCUCGGCCUUGUCUUACUGUUCAGAACUCACAGUUGAGUGUUUACAGGCAGAAUUUCAGCUGAGUUUUCUGAAUUUCUUGAAGGCAAUUUUACCUGGAUUUUUUAAAUCUCUUUGGUGCCAGAUUCUUCCUAGAGCAAAUCUCAUUGCUUUGCUUUGUCUCACAGUGCUGGGUGGCUGCAAUGUCACCAGUCUAUGUGGCACCACUCCUGCAGGUAAGCACUUAUCUGACAAAGUUCCCUUAGAAGCAGUUUUGCCUUCGUUUUUUUUAAGAAAAAAUUUGCAUGGUGCAAACAUUGCAUCCGUAUUCUUAAUGGCUAUUUAGAAAGCGAAGUGUUUGGGUGUGCUGGAAAAUAGCCCUGGGCUCCUAUUUGCCACGUGUAGUUGUGUGAAGAUCUGAGAAAAAUCACCAUCUGGUGUCUCCAGACUCAGAUCCUCAGAAAAUGCACAGAAUACUGAAAUGAAGGGAAUUCGGGCAUUUCUUCUGAUGAUUUGUUCAACUCUUUUUGUCUCUCCCAGAGGUGCGCGGAGGACGGAUACACAAAAGAGUGGGGAGGGCUGUGUACUGUCUGCAUGUGUUCUGCAGAUGAUAAUAGGGAAGGUCAGCAGGAAGAAAGGAUAGCCUUUGAAAAAGUAUUCUGCCCUCCAAUUUUAAAAUACGUUUGAGCUCUUACUUUGUAAAAGAAGGAACUGGUGACCUGGUGGCUUAAUAGUAUUGCCUAUUCAAAGGCAAUCGGUUCUUGGAAUAAUUUUGAGGCAUUUGGAGCCAUUUUCUAGUAGUAAAAUUUCAGAUUUGAUCUUUUAUUUCCCACAUUGGCCACAAGAGAGGAUUCGCUUUGCUGUGCCGGGGUACAAAUCAUUUUCAUGUUAGAAAACCAAAAGCCAUUAGCUGUGCUUUUACUUGGUGCAGAAGACAGAAGCAUUAGUACUGUAACACAGCAUGUUUUCUGCUGAGUGCAUGGUGUGAUGGCUGGAAAUCCUGAAAUUUGGAGCUAAAGAGCACCUCAUCCCACAUCUCGGAGGGUAUUCGCACUGAGAUCUGAGCAACUCCCAGUGGGCAACUGCCAGCAUUUCAGCUUUUAUUUUGGUCACUGGAUUGAAUGGACCCUGAGAAACACUGGGGGAAAAAAAAAACAACAAAAAAACAAUCCUAAGCCUAGAAGAAGCUGCAGAUGCUUCAAGCUGGGAUGGGAAAUUAAUAGAAUUAUUAUUCAUUUCAAUGGUGGCUCUUUAAAUGUGGGGCAACUCACUGAUUCUGUGCCUGCUCUGUGAUCAUUUUCCUUUUUGUUAGCGGCAUUUCCUGCCAAAAUUAAUCAGUCACUCCUUGAUGCUGGGCCAGUUCCCUGAGUUACACGUAGUCAGUCAGGUGGCGAUCCAAAUGCUUGCCCACUGCUCCACUGUUUUCUUUCUCUCUGACUCUGUCAGAAGCAUAAGACACAUCCAUGGAUCAUGGGAGAGAGAAGCAGGUUUGUUCUCCUUUAUCUCUGUGCUGGGGAAAAAAAAAAAGCCUCUCAACUCUAUAAUCAUCUUUCUAUAAAAUAAAUUACUUUAUCUGUCUUAAUACUGUCACUCUUCAGUCCUCCAGUGAUCUACUUCUUCCAUCUGUGUGCAUAACUGAAAUCUUCUCUCCACCUACUCUAUGUACUUCCAAGUGUCAAAAUCCAGCCUCAAUCAUUGCUGUCAUCAGUCUCUCGUUCUUGAUGGGAUAGCGGGUGAAACGUCACUGUUCCUCAGAUCUCCAUGGGUAAUUUCUAUGCUCGAUUUGCAGAGUUGAGGUAAACUAUCAGAAAUACGACCUAAAAUAGUGUUUUGUUUUGUUUUAUUUUGUCAGUUGAAGUUUUCCACUUUCUGCUCCUGAAGCAAGUCGGUAUUUCUGUUGCUUUCUGGGUCUUGUUUCCAUCAUGACUCUUGCUGCAUAAUUUCAAGAGAUAACCACAUUACCCAAAUCCUAUGAAAGUUGACUUACUGCUUCGUAUUGAGUAAUUCUGCAUGACUCACACUUUGUUCUCUGAGACAAUUUUUACGCUCGUUUGCAGAAUACUGUUGAGACAAUUGAGCUUACUUACCAAAAUCACCAUCUUUUGUAACGAGACAGUACAAUCACUUUCCUCUUUCACAAAGCCAUUCCAAGAACAAUGGGCCGACCCAUAAAUAACAACCAUUUGUUUUUGCUUAGAAUACGGA